ensembl:lncRNA
AUUAAAAGAACCACAUGAAAAGGAAUAAAUAUGACCUGGACAUUCACUUCCUGUGCAGAAGUUCGCUGAACAUGUGCCUCCCAGCCUGUCAGGGUGAGAUGCGACCUUCUCUUGUUUGCAGAAGGAGAUGGAGAAAAAAGAGGGGAAAAAAAAGGAAGAGGGGAAACUUAGUGAAAUGACAGCUCUUCAGUAUUCCAUGGCUAACUUCAGGGACGCCUUUCUUUACAGUGCUGUCUCACACACCCUAGAACUAGAAAAAUACAGCUAGUAGCAAAAAUACUUAAUACGCAACCUGUUCUUCAUUGUCUACAGUUAAACAGAGCUUGAUCCCCAUUUUAGCUGGGAGUCAGUGGCAGAACUCCUUUGGGUUUCAGUGGGAAUACGAUCAGACCUAAAGAUAUUAUGGACUGAGUCCAAGGAUCCUCUGAUGUGCAGAAGAAACACAUGGAUAGACCAGCAGAUCUUCGGACCACACACAGACCUGAGGAUAUGCACUUUAGUACUGUACCAGACUGCUGCCAGCCCACUUGCUGCUUUGUAGGAGGAACAGUCCAGACAAUAUCUGAACAGGGAGAAUGUUACUGAGUUGGACAAAAAGCUGAAAGGACCCUGC